AAGAACCGAGUUGUGCUUGUCUUAUUACUUUCAGAUUAAGAACUGAGUUUCCAUUGCAUAUAUACACGCCGGAUUAAGAACCGAGUUGUGUUGCCUUUACAUGAUGUUAAUAAUAUAUUCUGUUCACAGGGUUUCCUGAUAAGCACAUUGUACCUGAAUCUUGUGGUAUCCAUGGUAGUGUAAUUAAUGUGAUAUCCACAAAUGAAGUGAUUUCCGUCACUUAAAGUAGGUCGCUGGUGAAAUUACGGUUUCCAAUAGAGCGGAGAGAGCAACUGUUCGGAAUGCCUAGCUGAACGAAUGCAUGCUACAGGCUGCGCGACAACCUUGUCAUGAAGGGCCGACUUCUGCGGUCGUUGCGCUGACAGCCACGAAAGAAGCCGUAUCACCGUGGCUUUCGUAUGAAGAUUUGAUAUGAGCUUCUUAACAAGAGCUUGUGCUGUGUUGGAAGGUGGCUAUGAUCACGCAUAGGGUGUGUCAUGUUAACCUCUCACGAGUUGUACGCCUUCUUGCGCAUGUGGGGAGCUUCACGGCCUACAGUGACGAAGCCAACUGUGAGUUUGUUCCAUGUAUUUGCUAUUUAAACGACGCCAAUCAUCAUUAUUAUAUUGAGCGGUUGGUUAGUUUGGAAUGCACCGCUCACGUAAGUCUUAACUUAAGGCAUAAAUGGCAUAAUACUUGCCUGAAAAUAAAUGAAAUGUAUUGAUGGGUGAAGUUAUUUACAAGCAAAUAUUAGAUGGUGUUUUGUACACCAGUAAUUACCUGCCCGCCGCUAGAUGUCAUCUAUUUUACAUAAUUAAUUUGACUAAUAUAUAGUAUCGAUCAUGGCGGUAAAACAUGUACUUUUCGUACCAUCGCAUCUUAAUAGUUUUAAAGCCUUACAGGCUGUGGAUUUGUUAAAUAAUGACCUGACUUACUUGUACUAGGCUAGUCUGGUCAUGCAAUCUUGAGUUUAGUUAUGUCAUUACUAUGAUUCGACUAUAAAAUGAGGCCAAUUACAUAUCUUGGUGUAAGUUAGUCUUAAACUACACCGGCCGUUUCCAACGGUUCUCGAGUUAAUCACUUCAAAGGACCAGGGCCUGAGUGUAUAGCUGGAGUAUACAAAGUUCUUGUUCACUUUGCAGAAAAGAAAAGAACAAAUGAACAGAUGAAGUCUACCGCCACCCGUUGGAGGCGCGGCCUGCUUCGGCUGCGUUGACUGCGGCAGUCAUCAGUAGCAGCAUGGAUAGCAGAGACCUUCGGGACGAAAGGUCAAGGUCAGAAUGGGCGAAUGUAAGGACAUCACUAGUCGCUGGUCCCCAUCCCUAGGCAUCGCUGUCAACUGGGCGUCAGACGGACUGGAAGCUUCCAUUGGGAGCGUUUGUCACUAAGAUUGUAUUUUGAGAUUCCGUUCAAUAAACUGUAUAAUUAAUAGUGGUA